CAGUAGCCGCGGGAAAACGAAGGGGGCUAGCGUUGCUCGGAAUGACUGGGCGUAAAGGGCGCGUAGGCGGCGAUCAAAGUCAGGCGUGAAAUUCCUGGGCUCAACCUGGGGGCUGCGUUUGAUACUUGAUUGCUAGAGUGGGGAAAAGGGUCGUGGAAUUCCCAGUGUAGAGGUGAGAUUCGUAGAUAUUCGCAAGAACACCAGUGGCGAAGGCGGCUCACUGGCCCGAUACUGACGCUGAGGUGCGAAAGCGUGGGGAGCAAACAGGAUUAGAUACCCCUGUAGUCCCUGUCUCUUAUAU
rnacentral:rRNA from 1 species